CCAAGGAAGCAUUUGAACAGUUUUACUGUUCUUCAGGCAGUAGUUGGGAGUAAAUCUGGGGCUUCUGCUAUGGUGUGUAGGUGUGAACAUCAACAUCUGAUCUUGAAUCCUACCAGAACCAUAUUCUGAUUUACGCCAGCAAGCGUCUUUCCAUUUCACCGCCAGUCUAUGAAGGCAGAACACUGCUGGGAGCACUAGAUUACAACUUCUGCAAGGACAGACCAGCCAGGCAGAAUGCAGAUUGAAUCCAGAUAUUUUGAGGAAUAUAGUGGAGGGGAUGCCAUGGAAAAGAACCCUAAUUCCCGAAGACCCUAGAAGACUUGGACUCCUGCCCCGUAUUCCUCAACCAACAACUGAAGAACGUGUGCAAUCACAAGUGAGAAGAGGCCUAGCGUUGGGUGAACCUCGAGACCAUGCAGGAGCUCCAGAAACCUCAUCAAGCUCAGCAACCCUGUGAGAAACACAGGUACCGACCCACAUACAGUACCAGUUCAAAGUUUGGACACACCAACUCAUU